CCGGUGGGCGGAGGGAGGCCGGGGAGGAGGGUGGCGGUCGGUUUUAUUGUUUCCUUUCGCCCUCCUCCUCCCGCGCCUCGCCCCGGCGUCACUGGAAAGCCUCCCGAGCCGCCCGGCAGCGGGUUAUUUAUAGCGCGGGUGGCGCGCGCGUCACGGAGCCCGGCCCGGCUGACGGGGCCGCUGACGCGCUUGGCCGCGGGGCCGAGUCCGCGGGGCUGCACGCGGGGACCAGCGACAAUGGGCUUCUGUGUGUGCAGCUGCCGCCGCCGCUGGGGGCCGGGGGAGGGGGGCUGGCGGCCGCUCCCCGACCCCUCUCCCUCCCGCCCGCGACCCCCGAAAGGUAGCCGGCUUCUUCUGCCCCUGGCCGGGCCCCGCCAACUGCUUUUUCCUUUUCUUUCUUUCUUUGUUUUUUCUUUUCAAAUGUUAUCAGUAAGUUCUCCUUGCCCUAGCCUCCGCUUCCACCUCCCCCAUUUUCCCUCCCUGCCCCACAACCUGACUAGAGAGGGGGAUUUAGCCGGCCGGGGGCGACCACUUUGUGCGUCCCGGAGAGCGGGACCCGCCCAAGGCGCGCCCAGCGGGGGAGCGGUGACCGAGGGGCCGGGAGCGCCAGGCAGCAGCGCGCAGGAAGCCAACCUGGGUAUGUAGCGCGAAGAGCGAAAGAGAAACUUCUGCGUGACUAGCUCUCUCCAGAGAGGCCGAGAUAAUGGAGGACCCCCGCCCCCCACCCCGCGCCGCCCCUCCCCCGCCCGUUCCCACCCUUCUCUUCCCGCGGCCCCAACGCCGGGGACUUUGGAGUCCUCCCCCCGCCCGGCCCCGCGGGUUCUGUCCUCGAACGCCCCCGCCCUGCGGAAGGAGGGGCUGGCGAGGGUUUUAGGGACUUCCUGAGAUGCGGAGACCAGCUCUGAACCGUCUCCUUUCUGCAGCCGGGAGCUGGGAAAGCUUGCUCCGGAGCCUCUCGCACGUGGCCGGCAGGCAGAGAACUUGCUGUGCCUUCUAGGAAACUGCAAUCGAUUUGUAAUGCAGUUUUGCUAAUUGGGAGUUCAAAAUUAAACAUUAAUAAAGCAUUUGUGUCGUCUCGUCUAAUUGUGAAAGCUUCCAUCCGUCCUGGUAGAUAGACUCUAAGUCUCAAGUUAAUGGCGCUAAACUAGAUCCCUCCCCCUCCAAGUACAAUUCCGUCAGGCGGCGUCGGCGCAGCUGGAUUUCCGUUAGGUACAGAUGUUGCUAAUGGCAGCUUAAGCACGGAUGGGCAGAUAGCAUACGGAAUGCAACAUGUUGCCAUAUGGUUCCUUUAGCCUUUCACCUCCAGGAAUAUCAAUCACAUAUAUUCUGGGAGGAAUUUAAUGACUCUCUGAACGGUAAAAUGAAUUACCUGGUACAAUUUAUAUCCCUUGACCUGAUACGUUAUAACAACAGGAAGAUAGCAUCUCACAGUUCCUGUGG